UACGGUAGGGGCAAGCGUUGUCCGGAAUCAUUGGGCGUAAAGAGCGUGUAGGCGGUCCGGUAAGUCGGCUGUGAAAGUCCAGGGCUCAACCCUGGGAUGGCCGGUCGAUACUGCCGGACUAGAGUUCGGAAGAGGCGAGUGGAAUCCCGGUGUAGCGGUGAAAUGACGCAGAUAUCGGGAGGAACACCUAUGGCGAAGGCAGCUCGCUGGGACGUUACUGACGCUGAGACGCGAAAGCGUGGGGAGCAAACAGG
rnacentral:rRNA from 1 species